UACGUAGGGGGCCAGCGUUGUCCGGAAUCAUUGGGCGUAAAGCGCGCGUAGGCGGUCAGGCAAGUCCGGUGUGAAAGUCAUAGGCUCAACCUAUGGAUGCCGCUGGAAACUGCCUGACUUGAGUCCGGGAGGGGCGAGUGGAAUUCCUGGUGUAGCGGUGAAAUGCGCAGAUAUCAGGAAGAACACCAAUGGCGAAGGCGGUUCUCUGGGACGGUACUGACGCUGAGACGCGAAAGCGUGGGGAGCGAACAGG
rnacentral:rRNA from 1 species